UCAUCACCCUGUUUCUUAUUCUUUUUAAACAUUGUGCAAAGUUCCUGUGGUUACUUCAGGGAAAAACUUUCACUCAAGCCUGCCCAGAUGACUGUUCCGGCUGCAGGCUUGUGCUCCCUGAACACACUGACGCUCUACACACUCCGUGGAGUGUAUAGGGACAGCUAUGAUCGAGCCAACAAUCUUACACUUUCAGGAACAGCCGUUUCCUUCACUUCCUCAGUGAGCACUGG